GUCUAUGGCCAUACCACCCUGAACGAACCCAAUCUCAUCUGAUCUCAGAAACUAAGCAGGGUCAGGCCUGGUUAGUACUUGGAUGGGAGAAAGUGUAAAAUAUGGAUUACUAAAAUCA
ensembl:rRNA 5S_rRNA 5S ribosomal RNA